rnacentral:rRNA from 1 species
UACAGAGGUCUCGAGCGUUAGGCGGAAUCACUGGGCUUAAAGCGUGUGUAGGUGGAUGCCUAAGUACCUUGUGAAAUCCCACAGCUUAACUGUGGAACUGCUUGGUAUACUGGGUGUCUUGAGUCACUCAGGGGCGAGCGGAACAAAUGGUGGAGCGGUGAAAUGCGUAGAGAUGUGGAGGAACACCAGUGGCGAAGGCGACUCUUUGGCCUGUAACUGACGCUGAGGCGCGAAAGCUAGGGGAGCAAACAGG